CCGGCACGGGUGAGUAACACGUAUCCAACCUGCCGUCUACUCUUGGAGAGCCUUCUGAAAGGAAGAUUAAUACAAGAUGGCAUCAUGAGUCCGCAUGUUCACAUGAUUAAAGGUAUUCCGGUAGACGAUGGGGAUGCGUUCCAUUAGAUAGUAGGCGGGGUAACGGCCCACCUAGUCUUCGAUGGAUAGGGGUUCUGAGAGGAAGGUCCCCCACAUUGGAACUGAGACACGGUCCAA
rnacentral:rRNA from 1 species